rnacentral:lncRNA from 1 species
AAAGCUCUUGGCAAACACUGCCAUCUUCACCACUGUCAUCAGAUCCAAGUUCCAAUCCCAGCUCAGCCUUUUAUUGAUUGUGUGGCGUUGGCUAGGUUGCCUAACCAGCGUCAGACUUUCCUCACUUUUACAAUGAAGAUUAUAUCUAGCUUGUAGGUUAAAUAAUUUGGAGGCAGCACUUGGUAUGCAAAAGGUACUAAUUAUGUAAUUAUUAUUACAUUUUUUUCUCUGUAGUGAGAAGGCACAGGGUAGGAAUAUAACACAUUCUUUCUGACUUGAUUAUUUUCCCUCUCUGCUGAAAGAAUACCAGGCCCCUUCGAAAUCACUCUAGUGGACUCUGAAAUUUGUGUAGUGUUCUAUUAAGAUAUGUCAAGGAUAGUCUCUCAUUUGACUUAAUUGUUUUUGCUGACUAUAACUGGGGAUAAAUUGCAUCUUUUACAUGUUAAUUUCAGCCAUAUUUUGUGCCUAUUCAAGUUCAUUUCAGAGAGGUGGCGUCUGGGCUAGGAAUAAACAUUGUCUGAACACUUUGUGUUCAGCACUGGGUCCAGAUUUAUCUGGACAAUCUCAUUUUGUCUUCAGAGCCACCUUUUGUUAUUUCUCCAAGAGGCUAUAAUCAUACCCAUUUCACAGAGAGAGAAACAGACAAAGAGCCGUUAAAUAGGUGGUUCAAGGUCACUCAGGGCAAAGCCAAGUUGCAGAGCCAGGCUGUCUCCCUCCAGAGCCCUGGCUUUUUAUCACUCUACUAUCUCCUCACUCUGUGGGCUUUUCUUCCAGAAGGAUCUUUGCUCUGGCAAAAUCUUCUCAAAAUGAGUCUCCAAGACAGACAGCGAAGGGCUCUGUGCAGACCAAGGAGGGUGAGUGGAGAGAGGCAGCGCUCCCUAGUGGUCAACCUGGGGCCCAAGUGAGGCCUGACCUUGGCCAUGCCAGCCUCAGCCCUUCUUGAGUUCCUCUGCUCUUUCCUCUCCUUGAACUUCUGGGUCCCUGCCGUAGUUCAGCCCCUGGCCUUCUCUAGCCUCAAGGUCUAAGUGGACAAUGGCUGUCCCCACUUUCCACCCCAUGGGGACAGCUGUGCUAGCUUCUCUGUAGGUAAAGAGUUCAGUGAGGCACCUAAUGUGAUAAUGGAUUUCCAGGUGCUCUGGUCACAUCUAGGUGAACUAGUUUCCAGGUCUGGUUCCCCUGCAGGAUGAUGCUGUUGCCAUGGAGACCAGGUGAAGACUGGUGAGGAAGUGGGAAUGUGGGGUGUGCGGUGUGUGUGAUGCAGGGAGUCAAAUGCAAAAUUGCUGGUUGGGUCUAAUCUCUCUCUGACUCUCUCUGUCUCUGUCUCUCCAGCAAACAGAACAAAUGUUACUUCACGAACACACAAGUUGCAAUAUCCCUUUUUAAAGAGCAGCAUGGUCCCUUAUGUCCAGGCUUGCUGUGGUGGGUUGAACAAUAACCGUGUGUGGACUAGAUCCGGGCUGCAUGUCACAUAAUUCACAUUCUUGGCUUCCUGAGUCACUGUCAUUAUCUAACCUUUCCGGGGAGCCUGCUGUGUGUGGGCGUAGAUGGACAGGAAGUCAGAUAAGCCCCAUCUGUGUGCACAUCUGCUUGGGGAGUGAUUUACCUGAUUCUGGGGAAAGCUUUGCAUUUAAAGUAACGUGACUGAAAAAUUCUUGUCUGAAUUUCUAAAUCCCUUGUUAGAGUCUGUGGACAUUUCUGGACUGGAAGACACAGGGCUGGCAUGAAAGGCUGAAUCAGACGGCAGAAAGCUUCUUUCUUUUCUUUUCUUUUCUUUUCUUUUCUUUUCUUUCUUUCUUUCUUUCUUUCUUUGUUUUUCUUCUUUCCUUCCUUCCUCCCUUCCUUCUGUCCUUCCUUCCCUUUCUUUCCUUCUUUCCUUCUUUCUUUCCCCACACCUGCAGCAUAUGGAAGUUCCCAGGCUAGGGAUAGAUUUGGAGCUGCAGCAUCUGGCCAAUGCAGCUGCAGCGAAGCCAGAUCUAAGCUGUAUCUGCGACCUACUCUACACCUUGCAGCAAUGCCGAAUCCUUCACCCACUGAGCAGGGCUACGGAUGGAACCCGCAUCCUCAUACAUACUAGUCGGAUUCUUAACUCACUGAGCCACAGCAGGAACUCCAGGAGGCUUGUUCUUUCACACGCCUGGUGGAGGAUGCUGGCUGUUGGCUGAGGGCCUCAGUUCCUCUUCCUGUGUCCUCUCUACCUGAACUGCUUUGGGCUUCCUUACCGCCUGGUGGCUGGGUUCCAGAAGCCAGCACUGAGAAGUUGAUGGGGAAGCGAGGAAGAGAGAAUGUAGUGUUGGGCAGAAGCUGGAAUAUUCUUAGACUCUAGCCUCUGAAGGCCCACGGCAUCACUCCCACCAUUCACCAGUGUUGGAGCAGGCUCAGGCUGGUGCCCAGACUCAAGGGGAGGAAAAACAGAUGCCACCUCUCAGCAGGCAGGGCACCAGUCACAUAGGGAGAAGAGCAGGCAGGGUGAGAUGGACGUCUCCAGCUUGGGGAAAUGCGGUCGGGCCCCAUCGAGAGACGGUGGCCAAGGCGGGAGCAAUGGCGACGGCAGCAGAAUGAGCCCUGACCAUCCCUCCCACAGCCACCAGAGGGACUGCUCAAUCCUGUUACAGGUUUGGAAAGACCUACAAAGCUAGUUUUAACAGUUACCCUCCCUAUGUCUCUUUCCAUCCGAGUCUUGCUCUGAGCCAGUUAAUCUGAGAAACACUCAUGAUUGUUGAUAGGUGCGAAUGGGUUACCCGUGCCAAGAGACCUAAUUGCAGUUAAUAGGGAUCCACCUCCUGGGGACAUGAUUACUUAGCCUAGAAAGUGACUGGAUAAUGGCUCUAGAAGAAGAGAGUGGGCACAAAUGCUCCCUUUUGGUGCCAUUCAGUUCAUAGGGUAUGGGCAGCCACCUGUCUUCUCAAAUGCAACCAAGGAUCUGUGUGACAGCUCAAUUAAUGCAACAUUGCUAAGUGCAAGUGGCCCUACAACAAGAGCUUAGAGGACUCAUUUAUUUUCAGGGUCAAAAAUUUCCCUUUUGGAAUUCCCAUCCUGGCUCAGCGGAAAUGAAUCUGACUCGUAUCCAUGAGGACUCAGGUUCAAACCCUGGCCUCACUCAGUGGGUUAAAGAUCCAGCGUUGCCAUGAGCUGUGGUAUAGGUCGCAGACGAGGCUCAGAUCUGACCUUGCUGUGGCUGUGGCGUAGGCCCGCGGCUACAGCACCAAUUCAACCCCUAGCCUGGGGAUCUUCAUAUGCCGUGGGUGCAGCUCUAAAAAAAGAGAAAAGGAAAAAUUCCCUUUGACCUGGAAAACCAUAUCAUGAUGCUACAAAUAAUUGUGUUUGAGUGGUAGAACUAAGGAUGAUUUUUUCUUCCCUUAUUUUCUCUGUUUUCUAAUUUCUUCCUGCAUAUGCAUUACUUUUAUAGUUAAAGUUUAAAAAAAUUGUCGUUUAAAGCAUUUCAUCAGUAAGAGUUGGGAAAACAGGAGACCUGAGCUCCAACCCUCCUCUAGUGACAUCUGCCAGGAUCCUGGAUAGCUCUGUGACUUUCUUUCCACAAGUGUCAAUGUUGGCAUCAUUCCUAAUUCUUGCUACUUUCCAAGGUUGCUGUGGUUAUCAUGAAUGAGUGGCCGUGAAGAAUUUGGAAAGAGGCAUUAUUGCUAAGGUAAGAUUUAUUAUUAUUUGUCCUUUGUCUUCCUGAACAAACUAGACUUCAUCAAAACAAAAAAAGUGAGGCCAAAUUGCUUACCUGUUUACCCUAAUGGUUGACAACAUGUUUUUUUUGUUUGUUUGUUUGUUUGUUUUUGUUUUGUCUUUUUGCCUUUUCUUGGGCUGCUCCCACUGCAUUUGGAGGUUCUCAGGCUAGGAGUCACAGUCGGAGCAGUAGCCGCCCGCCUACGCCACAGACACAGCAACUUGGGAUCCGAGCUGCAUUUGUGACCCACACCAUAGCUCACAGCAACGCUGGAUCCUUAACCCACUGAGCAAGGCCAGGGAUUGAACCUGCAACCUCAUGGUUCCUAGUCGGAUUCAUUAACCAUUGAGCCAUGACGGGAACUCCAGGAAAUAAAUUUCCGGGAGUUCCCGUCGUGGCGCAGUGGUUAACGAAUCCGACUAGGAACCAUGAGGUUGUGGGUUCGGUCCCUGCCCUUGCUCAGUGGGUUAACGAUCCGGCGUUGCCGUGAGCUGUGGUGUAGGUUGCAGACGCGGCUCGGAUCCCACGUUGCU